rnacentral:lncRNA from 1 species
AUUUAUGCUGCUUUUGGUUGCUCUGGUCAAGCAUGUUUUUACUUCAUUCUAAAUUUGUUGAUUAUUUUUAUUGCAUGCUAUGUAUGUGAGAUUCAACUUUGUAUUACAGGUUGUUUUAUAUGUCAAAAUGCACUGUUUUUAUGUUAUUUAUAUGUUUUUAUAUUCGGUCAAAAGCUCCUUAGAGCUUGUGUUGCUUAUUUGUACUCAUGC